rnacentral:rRNA from 1 species
UACGUGGGGGGCAAGCGUUGCUCGGAAUUAUUGGGUUUAAAGGGUGCGUAGGCGGUUGAUUAAGUCAGUUGUGAAAUACGGCAGCUUAACUGUCGAGGUGCAAUUGAUACUGGUUGACUUGAGUACAGACGAGGUAGGCGGAAUUGACGGUGUAGCGGUGAAAUGCAUAGAUAUCGUCAAGAACACCGAUAGCGAAGGCAGCUUACUAGACUGUAACUGACGCUGAGGCACGAAAGUGUGGGGAUCAAACAGG